UACGGAGGGGGCAAGCGUUAUUCGGAAUUACUGGGCGUAAAGCGCACGUAGGCGGCAGGGCAAGUCAAAGGUGAAAGCCCUCAGCUCAACUGAGGAACUGCCUUUGAAACUGCUUUGCUUGAGUCCGGGAGAGGAGAGCGGAAUUCCCAGUGUAGCGGUGAAAUGCGUAGAUACUGGGAGGAACACCGGUGGCGAAGGCGGCUCUCCGGACCGGCACUGACGCUGAGGUGCGAAAGCGUGGGUAG
rnacentral:rRNA from 1 species